rnacentral:rRNA from 1 species
GACGAACGCUGGCGGCGUGCUUAACACAUGCAAGUCGAACGGAAAGGCCCCUUUGGGGGUACUCGAGUGGCGAACGGGUGAGUAACACGUGAGUAACCUGCCCUUGACUUCGGGAUAACUUCAGGAAACUGGGGCUAAUACCGGAUAGGAAUCCUUGCUGCCUGGUGGGGGUUGGAAAGCUUCGGCGGUUUUGGAUGGACUCGCGGCUUAUCAGCUUGUUGGUGGGGUAGUGGCUUACCAAGGCUUUGACGGGUAGCCGGCCUGAGAGGGCGACCGGCCACAUUGGGACUGAGAUACGGCCCAGACUCCUACGGGAGGCAGCAGUGGGGAAUAUUGAACAAUGGGCGGAAGCCUGAUGCAGCACCGCCGCGUGCGGGAUGACGGCCUUCGGGUUGUAAACCGCUUUCAGCAGGGGCGAAGCUUGUGGUGACGGUACCUGCAGAAGAAGCACCGGCUAACUACGUG